GUCGAUGUGGCUCAGUGGCUAGAGCGUUGGCUUGUGGACCAAAGGGUCCUGGGUUCAAUUCCCGGUUAGGGCA
rnacentral:tRNA from 1 species